GCCAAUAUAUGAAUCAAUAUCCAGAGCUAUCAUACGCGCAUCUAUCAAAGACAUAUUCCGCUAUUGGGUUAGGGCUCUCUCCUUUUUCCAUCGUUCGAAGCCUCUCUUUGCGAUCACCGCGAAACCCUAACCCUAGAAUUCGACAAUGUCUAGCAAGCAAGGAGGGAAAGCGAAGCCUUUGAAGCAACCUAAGGCCGAAAAGAAAGAGUACGACGAGAUUGACAAGGCUAAUAUUCAAAAGAAAAAGGAUGAAGAAAAGGCUCUGAAGGAGCUCAAGGCAAAGGCUCAGCAGAAGGGAGCAUUUGGUGGUUCUGGUCUGAAGAAAAGCGGCAAAAAAUGAGACUUUCUGAAAAGCAAAUGGUCUCGAUUGCUCCAUUCUUGUCAUUGUGGUGUUGUGUUAUUGUGUCCUCGAGUUCCUAGCAUACAACUUAAAUGUGUUAGCUUGUUAUUGUCUGGUUAUCAAGCUUCCAAAAGCUUUUCGAUAAAAGAUUUUCAGCUUUUUCUAAUAGAUGCAUGAUGCCUUUAUUCUGCCUGUAAUUUACAAUAUGUACCCCUUUCUGAAACGUCAAUGGGUGGUUUCCAUGUGUUCCUGGUAGUGAAUUAUCUUCAAAAGUUGAUCUUUUAUGAAAAGAUGAUCUUGUCAA